rnacentral:rRNA from 1 species
GAGGAAUAUUGGUCAAUGGGCGAGAGCCUGAACCAGCCAAGUAGCGUGCAGGAUGACGGCCCUCCGGGUUGUAAACUGCUUUUAGUUGGGAAUAAAAAAAGGGACUUGUCCCUUCUUGUAUGUACCUUCAGAAAAAGGACCGGCUAAUUCCGUGCCAGCAGCCGCGGUAAUACGGAAGGUCCAGGCGUUAUCCGGAUUUAUUGGGUUUAAAGGGAGCGUAGGCGGAUUGUUAAGUCAGCGGUUAAAGGGUGUGGCUCAACCAUGCAUUGCCGUUGAAACUGGCGAUCUUGAGUGCAGACAGGGAUGCCGGAAUUCGUGGUGUAGCGGUGAAAUGCUUAGAUAUCACGAAGAACUCUGAUCGCGAAGGCAGGUGUCCGGGCUGCAACUGACGCUGAGGCUCGAAAGUGUGGGUAUCAAACAGGAUUAGAUACCCUGGUAGUCCACACAGUAAACGAUGUAUACUCGCGGUUUGCGAUAGAUUGUAAGCCGCCAAGCGAAAGCAUUAAGUAUACCACCUGGGGAGUACGCCGGCAACGGUG